UACGGGGGGAGCAAGCGUUGUUCGGAUUUACUGGGCGUAAAGGGCGCGUAGGCGGCCAGCACAAGUCAGUUGUGAAAUCUCCGGGCUUAACUCGGAAAGGUCAACUGAUACUGUGUGGCUAGAGUGCAGAAGGGGCAACUGGAAUUCUCGGUGUAGCGGUGAAAUGCGUAGAUAUCGAGAGGAACACCUGCGGCGAAGGCGGGUUGCUGGGCUGACACUGACGCUGAUGCGCGAAAGCCAGGGGAGCGAACGGG
rnacentral:rRNA from 1 species